GGGUUGUGAGGUUAAGCGACUAAGCGUACACGGUGGAUGCCCUGGCAGUCAGAGGCGAUGAAGGACGUGCUAAUCUGCGAUAAGCGCCGGUAAGGUGAUAUGAACCGUUAUAACCGGCGAUUUCCGAAUGGGGAAACCCAGUGUGACUCGUCACACUAUCAUUAACUGAAUCCAUAGGUUAAUGAGGCGAACCGGGGGAACUGAAACAUCUAAGUACCCCGAGGAAAAGAAAUCAACCGAGAUUCCCCCAGUAGCGGCGAGCGAACGGGGAGGAGCCCAGAGCCUGAAUCAGCAUGUGUGUUAGUGGAAGCGUCUGGAAAGGCGCGCGAUACAGGGUGACAGCCCCGUACACAAAAGCGCAUGUGCUGUGAGCUCGAUGAGUAGGGCGGGACACGUGGUAUCCUGUCUGAAUAUGGGGGGACCAUCCUCCAAGGCUAAAUACUCCUGACUGACCGAUAGUGAACCAGUACCGUGAGGGAAAGGCGAAAAGAACCCCGGCGAGGGGAGUGAAAAAGAACCUGAAACCGUGUACGUACAAGCAGUGGGAGCACCCUUUGGGGUGUGACUGCGUACCUUUUGUAUAAUGGGUCAGCGACUUAUAUUCUGUAGCAAGGUUAACCGUAUAGGGGAGCCGGAGGGAAACCGAGUCUUAAUUGGGCGUUAAGUUGCAGGGUAUAGACCCGAAACCCGGUGAUCUAGCCAUGGGCAGGUUGAAGGUUGGGUAACACUAACUGGAGGACCGAACCGACUAAUGUUGAAAAAUUAGCGGAUGACCUGUGGCUGGGGGUGAAAGGCCAAUCAAACCGGGAGAUAGCUGGUUCUCCCCGAAAGCUAUUUAGGUAGCGCCUCGUGAAUUCAUCUCCGGGGGUAGAGCACUGUUUCGGCUAGGGGGCCAUCCCGGCUUACCAACCCGAUGCAAACUGCGAAUACCGGAGAAUGUUAUCACGGGAGACACACGGCGGGUGCUAACGUCCGUCGUGAAGAGGGAAACAACCCAGACCGCCAGCUAAGGUCCCAAAGUCAUGGUUAAGUGGGAAACGAUGUGGGAAGGCCCAGACAGCCAGGAUGUUGGCUUAGAAGCAGCCAUCAUUUAAAGAAAGCGUAAUAGCUCACUGGUCGAGUCGGCCUGCGCGGAAGAUGUAACGGGGCUAAACCAU
rnacentral:rRNA from 1 species